ACUGCCGAAGUUAGCAAUUGCCUCUUUAUAUAUAUAUAUACAUAUGUGUAAAAUAUACAUACAUAGUAUACUGAGCGCAAUUCCACCAAAGAGACUGAUUACGAGCGUAUGCAUGUGUGAGAGAGCAAGUCCGUCGCGUCCGAUAGGGGAAUUUCAGAUUGGUGACUUUCUUCACGCUCCUCAGGAAAGGAUUCGCAUAGACAAACUGCAUUCGACAUUACAUACAUUGUACUUAUCAAUAUUUACAAUGUUUUACAAGAUCCUAUGCGAAUUGUGGGAUUGCUUUGAAGUAUUUACUGAUAGCGGUAUAUUUGUAACGGAAUGCUUGCUGGAACACUAAGCGGGCUUAACAAUACAUGUUGCUUGUCUCUCUCCAAGUCUAUAUUUAAAUAUAUGAUUCACUCUUUUCACAACUGAUGAAACCCGUAUCAUGCCGAUAUACAAAUGAAUGAAAAAUAUACAUAGUAAGUGUUGACACCCAUAUCGUAUCCUACUUCGUGAUAGCUCUAUAAUAAAUAUGUGAUAUGAAUUCAAAAAUUAUAAUAAUUAAACAAGUUUAAGUUUUAAAAUAGUAUUUUUUAAGUUACUAAUAAACUUUAUUUUGCGUUAUUUUAUUAAUAAAACAGACUUUUUCUUGUCUAACAUUCAUAAAACAUUCAUAAACUUUAUACAAGUGAGCAUACUUUUGACACAUUUACUUAAACAUUUCAGACAUGUUCCAAAACACAUACAAUUACAUUUAUUUAAAAAUUUGAACAAUUUAAAA